rnacentral:tRNA from 1 species
GGAAAUAAAGCUCAGUGGUAGAGUGCUUUCCUAGCAUGAAUGAGGCCCUGGGUUCAAUCCCCAGUAGUGCCA